UGAAUCGAGGCUACACAGCCAAAUAUCCACGGGUCCGUUUCAGGCCGUUAGUUGAAAACGGGCCGUUACGGGCCCGUGAACGGCCUGUAUACAGGAUGUAGCCCACCCACGUCCUGUAUACAGGCCGUUCUCACGGGCUGUAAACAGGACGUUAGCCCACGUCCUGUUUACAGCCCGUGGAUACGGGCCUGUAUUAGGGCGCACCCACGUCCUGUAUAUAUAGGCUGUUGCAGCUGUAGCUUAUGCGCAUGCGCUAGCUUGGGGCAGGAUGACGUCCCUGACUACAAAAAGAGAAUGAGACAGACAGACAGAGCUCUGAGAAAAAAUCCUGCUGCUUGUCACAAGAGGAGCUGCUGGUCCAAAAAGACAACUUGAAGAGGACUAUACAGUCCAUUACUAUUAGUCUACCUGUGAACAGAAAAAGGUUUGCACGUUGUUAUGGACUUUUGAAGCUGGAACACUGGCCAAUUUUACAAGGCUCCCAUCUGAAGUUUUUUCACUUUUGAUAAAGAGGUGUUGAAGAAUGCUCCCAGAUAAUGCUGCCGAGUUGAAGUCUGGACUAAUUACAUACUAGAUGUUGUCAGAAGAAUGAACUAAAGAUAAAGCAACAGUUUCCUGUUGCGAGAUAUCUUCGAGAUGAAAAAGAGCCCUUGUAAUGUGUACAGCACACUGUAAGCUGUUGACUGACUUCAUAGUACGCCGAUGUUGCAAAACUCAAGAUUUCUUUAUUGGCAUGCCGAGUUGGAGUCUGGAUGUGUUAGAUUGAAGUUUUUAGACAAAUGAUAAAGAGAAUGCAACAAUUGCCUGUGUACAGCUGGCGAGCUAUCUCGGAGAUGAAGAACGGCCCUUCAAGCUGUUCACUGACUUCAUAGUACGCCGGUAAGCAGUGGUGUAUUUUUUGUAUAAUUCCCAGCCUCUUCUCCUCAGAGUCUAUCUUUGUGCACAAAAACAAGACGAAUAUAAAUACAUGCCACCUUGGGGAUGUGAAGACACGGACAUGAUAAUAAGAGACAUAAUGUAGCUGAACAGAAAUUAAUAUAUAUAUAUAUCUUGUUCUUGUCUUCUUUGUCUUUGAA